CACAAACUGAGGUGACUCAAGGGUUCCUUUUCCUUGAAGAGUUGUUAAGGGGUCAUCGGAAGUCUUGGUGAUCCAUCUAAACUAUCCACUCUACUGGGUAGUCCUAGUGUUGAUUCUGACCUUGUUUGGCACUCAUCCCAAGAUAUUUGCAGAAGAUGUGAAAAAGCCAGGCAGUCUACUAGGUAGACGUCUGAAUAUGUGGAAAAUUCUAAACAGCAAUGACUUAGACAAGGUAGAAAUUUAUUUCUUGUUCACAUAAAACUUUGAGCAGGCUGCCCACAGUGGUGAUGGUGCUCUGUGGUAUCAGGGUCUCUGGUUUCUUCUACCUUGUUGCUCCUUCCAUUUGUGACCUGGGCUGCUAGUCAAAGAUGGCAGCAUCUACCUUCCAGGUUGCAGGAUAAAGAAGAAGAGAGGCUGGGCGCAGAGGCUCACGCCUGUUAUCCCAGCACUUUGGGAGGCUGAGGCGGGUGGAUUGCUUGUGCCCAGGAGUUUGAGACCAGCCUAGGCAACAUGGCAAAACCCUAUUUCUACAAAAAAUAUAAAAAUUAGCUGGUGUAGUCCCAGCUACUUGGGAGGCUGAGAUGGGAGGAUCACUUGAGCCCAGGAGGUGGAGGUUGCAGUGAGCCAAAAUCACACCACUGCACUCCAGCCUGGGUGACAGAGUGAGACUCUGUGUUAAAAAAAAAGAGAGAGAGAGAAAGAACAGCAAAAGAUAUAUUACUGCUGCUCCUUUAAGGAAGGGGCAAUAUUUCCACUUAUGUCCCAUUGGCUGGAUUUUAAACAUAUUCCUUCUCUCAGCCACUAGGCAGGUUGGGAAAAUACAGUCUUUAUUCUGGGUAGCCGUGUGUCCAGCCAAAACUUAGGGGAUCUAACACAGUGGAGAAAGUGGAUUUGGGGGAUGAAUUAGUAAUAAUAGAUUAGGCUAUGCUGUGGUCCAUAUAAACCCUAAUAUCUCAGUGUCUUGACCCAACUAAGGUUUAUUUCUCACUCAGGAACCUCAGUUGACAGGUGCUUCACCAUCCCUCUGCUGAUUGCUGGAACAUGGGGCCUUCAAGACAGCUGUUAAGAGGGGAAGAGAGGAGGACAUGAGGCAGAACACCAACUCCUAAAUGCUGACUUCUAAAUGCUUACGACUGACAUCCCUCAUUUCUGCUCUUAGUCCCUUGGCCAGAACUAGUCCCAUGGUUUCUACCUAACUACCAGACAGCCUGGAAAAUGUGGAAAAGCAUUUUAUUAUUACAAGUGGGAAAUAAAUGUCUCUGCCACUUAUUGGGGUUAAUACUUGAAUUCAUUUAAAGAGUUGUAUACAAUGACUAAUUGCUACAGCAUGCUGAAGUUUUGAUUGAGCACUUUGUCAGCAUUUAACAUUCCUCUCUUCCCCCACAGGCUUAUUUGUGGCUUGGAGCCUCCGUGUCCUUCUAGCCCCGUCAAUCUGUGGUUUUCUCUGUGUAUCCACAGUCUUGAAGAAAAGCCCUGGGCACUGGCGCUAGGUUUUCCCAUUUGACACAGAGGAGGCCUCCCUUUAAACGACAAUAAAAAUAGCCUCCAUUUAUGUUGCUGUUUCUUUCCCUUUGUCUCUUCUACUAAAGGAGCCAAUUAAACAAAAUGUGUGCUUUCGGCGCCUGUUCUGUAUUCACUUUAAGAUUUAAUCAACCCUCUGAACCUGCAGCAUAACUGCCUCAUAAUGUCAAGUUAAUAUAUUGAGAUCAGCUCAAACCCACCAUUCCCAAGGGUGGUUUUGUUUAAAGGCAAGUUGUAAUUGAAUUUCUAAGCAACUGCCAAGCUUUCAAGGUACCAAAAUAAACAUUAUCCAAACAGAAACUUAUCCUGGAAUCUUUGGUUAACUUAUGUGUACUUUAAGAAAACAGAGGUUUUCAGAAUUUAAAAAAAAAAAAGUAAGCUGAACUCUUUGAAGUCCCUUCAAAACUUAAUCGCUAUUACCUUCCCCCACCCCCAUUUCUUGAGGCACUCACAGCUGAAUACCCAAUCAGGUAAAUCAGCAGCUGAGUAUUCACUAAAACACAGCUUUCUUUGCUUUACAGGAAACUGUCCUUCAGGCUCCUUUGACUUUUGGGCUCUUUCGUUGCUCAGCUAAAUAUCUUCAGGGAUCCUCACUGCCCACAGAAUAAAGUCCAAACUUUCCAUCCUGGGAUUCAACCUUUUCUGUGAUCUGUCUCCAACAUGCUUUGCAGGGCUUAUCUCUACUUACAGAACCCUGUCUCCCUUCACCCAAGCAUGAGCCUACUCAUCAAUCAUAUCCCACGGUUCACUUCUUGCAAAUAUGUUUGACACUUUUCUAUCUGGGUUUUUGUUGAUGUUAGUCUCUUAACCUGUAAUGUUCUUCACCCCAAAUCUAUCUAUUAAAAUCCCACCCAAAUCAGUAGCCUCUUCCAGUUCCCCACAGUUGUAUUAAAUGUCACCGUUGUGCUACGUAGCACUUGGAGACACGUUUAUUGUUAUACUUCCCUUAUUCUGUUUGCAUCUGAAUAAGUUCCACCCAGCUUCCACAUGAGUUUAUAUGUUCCUCAAGGCCAGGAAGCGUAUCUUCUGUUUUUCUUCCCUCCUUUGUUUUUAAUGGACCUUUAUUAAAUACCUACUGAGUGCCUGGCACUGUGCAAGAGACUCUGA
rnacentral:lncRNA from 1 species